GAUGUUUAUUGAGCACCUACUCUAUGCUGACAGCUGUACACCAGCACUCGGCUUUCCUGUUCAUCCUGGAGUAGAAAGAACCAGGGAUGGACUUAGAUCUGAGUCAGCGAUGGGAGAAAGAAUGAGAAGGCUGAAUGAACAGAUGAGUCAUCCUCUGAGAACAUGACCCAGGAGAGGGGACAAGGUGCUCCUGCUAGCAACAAGAGGUCUGUACAUCAGCUGUGUUCCUGGUGCCUGUGGAGGCCAGAAGAGAAUGUCAGAUCUUCUAAGGCUGGGGAUGCAGACUCUUGUGAGCUGCCAUGUGAGUGUGGGACUUGAACAGCAGCCAAAUACUUUUAACCCCUGAGCCAUCACUUCAGCAUCUCCCCCACACCUUCUUUAAAACAGUCUCUUGUAACCAUAACUGAAAACUAUCUUGAAGCCUGAAUACUCCCACUGCUAUCUUGAGUGUGUGGCUUAGCAUCAUGUAUCACGCCUGGUCUAUGGGGUUCUGGAGUUGAAACAGGACUUCCUGCGUGCUAGGAAAACACUUUCCAA
rnacentral:lncRNA from 1 species